AGAUUGACAAAAAAAAAAGUAUUUGUGGCGGCCACUUGGAUAGGGACACGGGUCUCGCCGCCAAGGAUGUCCUUUUCCCCCCUCUCUGGAUCUCCGCUGCGCUGGCUUCAGUGAUUAUAGCUUUCCCCACAGACAUUAGCUGAGACUUAAUGGUGGGAGUAGACUGGUUUAUUAGGGCAUGGUACAUGCAAUUUAUACACAGAGGUCAACAGGGUUAACAAGCCAAGAGGUGGUCUGACUAUGGGGAGUAUAAAAGGGAAAAAUCGGGACUUCGUUCGUUUACCGAACCAUAGGGGGAAAAUUAACUGACAGAAAAUGUUCUGUCACAGUAUUUAAUCCCCAUUCACACACAUACACUGCGUCCUUGUGUGCAUAUUGGGGGCCCAGACAAAAUUCUUAUGGCAGCUCUGAAAAUCACAUUAAAAAAAGUAUGCAGAACUACAUUGGAAACAGAUAAAACAUAUUUAAUAAACAUAUUUAAUAAAACGAGACAACCUUAAUUUCUAAACUGUGCUCUGUUAUAUACCAAAUGUUAGUUACAUAGUUACAUAGACUGAAAAGAGACGUGUCCAUCAAGUUCAGCUUUUUUCACACCUAAAUUAGAGAUAUGCUGUUUAGCAAAACUUAAACACACAAAUAAAAAAAAUGUAGAUAAAUUGAUAGAAAC